CNACCUGCCGCUUACUCGGGGAUAGCCUUUCGAAAGAAAGAUUAAUACCCGAUGGUAUAAAGAGUUCNNNUGUUCCCUUUAUUAAAGAAUUUCGGUAAGCGAUGGGGAUGCGUUCCAUUAGAUAGUUGGCGGGGUAACGGCCCACCAAGUCUACGAUGGAUAGGGGUUCUGAGAGGAAGGUCCCCCACAUUGGAACUGAGACACGGUCCAAACUCCUACGGGAGGCAGCAGUGAGGAAUAUUGGUCAAUGGACGCGAGUCUGAACCAGCCAAGUAGCGUGAAGGAUGACUGCCCUAUGGGUUGUAAACUUCUUUUAUAAGGGAAUAAAGUGAGGGACGUGUCCCUUUUUGUAUGUACCUUAUGAAUAAGGAUCGGCUAACUCCGUGCCAGCAGCCGCGGUAAUACGGAGGAUCCAAGCGUUAUCCGGAUUUAUUGGGUUUAAAGGGAGCGUAGGUUGACAUAUAAGUCAGCUGUGAAAGUUUACGGCUCAACCGUGAAAUUGCAGUUGAUACUGUAUGUCUUGAGUGUACAAGAGGUGGGCGGAAUUCGUGGUGUAGCGGUGAAAUGCUUAGAUAUCACGAAGAACUCCGAUUG
rnacentral:rRNA from 1 species